CGAGCGCGGCGUCUCGCCGGAGCCCGGCUGCGGGCCGCCGUCGCCGCACGCGCUGCUCGCCGCCAGGAAGGCGCGCCUCGAGGUCGCCGCCGUCUGACCAAACACAUCAACUACUACUACUCUCUCUCUCGUAUCACAUUACGUGGUCACAUUUUGUGGCUCCUCCGGUGGUUGCUUGGGUCCAUAUUAUUCGAAUGAACCGUUUCAAAAAUGUACUGGACUCUGUUCAGUGCAAGUUUAUCACAAAAGUAAAUAUUGCAGAAAGGUAUCGUGCAUGCAGAAUUUGCUCCUCCAAUACAAACUGCCAACAACUAUUUUGCAAAGAUAUCCGUAAAAGACUCGAGACGAGGGUGAAUCUAUUGAGAUCGGGCAUCGCAGACAAGUGGAUGCUGCAUCGUGACAACGCUCCACGUCACACGACCACUUCCAUUACGGAAUUUUUUUUCUCAAAAGGUAUUCUUGUUGUUCCACAGCCCCGAUCACUUCCAUUACGGAAUUUUUUUUCUCAAAAGGUAUUCUUGUUGUUCCACAGCCCCGAUCACUUCCAUUACGGAUUUUUUUUUUCUCAAAAGGUAUUUUUGUUGUUCCACAGCCCCGAUCACUUCCAUUACGGAUUUUUUUUUUCUCAAAAGGUAUUCUUGUUGUUCCACAGCCCCGAUCACUUCCAUUACGAAAUUUUUUCUCAAAAGGCAUUCAAGUUGUUCCACAGCCUCCCUAUUCACAAGAUCUGAGUCCUUGUGACUUUUUUCCUCCCCUGAUAUUAAAAAAAUGCCCUAAAACGACAUUCAAAAGAACGUGACGGACAUGUUAAAAGCCUUACCAGUUGAAGCCUUUCAGCGCUGCUACCAAAACUGGGAACAACGACUCUGCCGGUGUGAAGCUGUCGAAGACAACUCCUUUCAGGAUGACAAUAUUCUUAUUUGAAAAAUACAAAAACUUUGGUCUCAUUACUUUUCUCACACAUCUCUUAUACUGACAAAGUGAUAAAUGAAACAACACUAAACGACCUGUGCCCAAGUGAGGGACAAAACCACGAAUGGGUUCACUCAACUGGUAAACACUACGGCACUGUGACCUCUAGACUAGAGGAAAUCGCUAGAAGUAAAGUUACAGUGUUAAUCGAAGAAACCCAUUAACAAUAGCAACAUUGAGACUUAGGUAUAAAAACUAAUUGACCACAGGUUGUCUCCAUAUUAACUUCGUUGCACUACCGAAAAUAGUUUUUCAAUAAUGAUCAAAUAUCCGAGAAACUUGCAUUGUUUAUUAGACUUUGUAGAACUAAAAAUCGUACCCAUAUUAACUAGCACACCAUGUCUUGGGGAGCCCAUUCGUUCAGAUUGUUUGGAAGGAGAUACUAAAAUGUAGUGAGCGCGGAGUACGGAAUGUCAUUACGUGGAAGUAACCACAGUAUAACUGAUACUUCGAAGUCUUUUAAGUGCUGUUGAGCAGCGUCGUGCUACGUAACCCGAAUGUAUGCAAUGCUCAUUCCUUCCUCAAAGUAAUAAAUAAAUUAUUCUUGUACUUGGCCACUGUAAGCAAGGACAGCAGUUACAGAGCAAAGCACAACUUGGUAGUGUACCUGAUUAUAUUAAUUUUUUAAUGGGUCACUUAACCAGGAAAGUUGUAUGACAAUUUUAGGAUCUUGAAAUAGAAGUUAAGUCUGUCUUUAUCAGAAUUUUAUUUACUUUUUUAAGAUUAAUCAAAAGUGGUCAAAGAAACAAUAUUGAUUGAAUAUUAAUUGAAUUACGAAGUGAUGCUAACACUGUGGGAGGUAACAAAUCGAAAGGAAGACGGCAUGAAGAAUGAAGACCCAGAUAUCCUUGUCCGAGCAGGUCACAGAGACGAUAUUAUUGAAACAUGAUACAAGUUGAAAUUAAAUAAGAAACGCAAGUUACCUGCCAUAAAUAUAAGAGAAACGAGCUGCUCAGAUUGCAGUUUGCACUACGGCGGGGUAUGAGAACUUACAUCUCCUGGUGAUCAGCAAAGUAUGCUCAGCAGCCCCAGCUGGUAGUCAGCUCAAAUCUCCUCCAGCUGUCCGUAUCUGCAGGUCUCUUGACUCAUCCGCUGUUUGUCCUCGAAUGCCCCAGAACUUACUUUCUCUUUCUCAACUUCCAACCUUUCAAAAAUUCAACGACUAAUGGGGUGACUCCAAGCUAUUGCCAGUGUAUAGGACGAGAAAUGUGGCAAAAUUUACCGAAUAUGGGAGAAAGAAAAGCAAAUUUCCCACUUCUUUGUGUACAACACGUAUAUUUUACCAUCAUGAGAUUGGCACUGGGCUGAAGCAGUGAUACUUUAAUUGGUUGGCCCAUGUGCUAGGUCAGGCGACACAAUCUCAUUGGAUGAAUCAGACAUUUUGAAUUAAAUGCAACCGACACUCCCAUGCUAGGCACCAAGAUGUCUCAGCCUUUGAAGUAACGCAGAAGAGCAAAAAUAAAAUGUCUUGCUUCUAUCUCCAGCAGGUGGUAACGUGGUUCACUGUCCAGCACGCAGCGCGAUGCUGUCGAUAUUCUCAUAAAGGCGGGCUGCAGGCUGGCUUCUGCGUAAGUUUCUGAAUACCCCAGGGAAACAUGCUUGACCUAAAGAGAAUCACAGACUACCCUCUGCCGACAAACGAGACCCGAGAUCGGGGCCCACUUGCACCGCUAGGAGGGUGCGAAGCUUCCUCUCCGUGUACUCAUUUCCAGCGCCCACAGAUGUGGCGGCAAAAUAGUGGGCGAAAACUGAAUUGAUGUCGCACAGCAUUAUAUGACAAUAAUGUCACACAGAUAUGGAGAAAUAACAGGAGAAUCAGCGCGUGGAAACAGUGCAUAACUUGAAAUAAAAACUAUGCGGUCCUUCGCAUUACCAACAUUUUAAAAAAUCAAGCGAGUGAGGAAGACUCUUACGAUCACACCGCAUUCAGAAAAGAAAUGACGCAUUAUAAUAGGUACUGGAGAUUAUUUUUACUUUACAGGAAUACGACCACACAAUUUUCACAUAGUCGCGUCUGUUUUGCAUAAUUUCCCAUUUGCUUUCAGUGUAUGUAUUUUCGAACGGCCUUCUGAGUAUCGCUGAAAUAUUGAAACCCAGACUUUAAUUUCUUACUUUCUGAAAAUAACGAAAGCAACCCUAUUGAUAUAAACUCUUUCAACCGUCUACGUAGUUUUGCCAACAUCUAAAAUAAUAUCAACACAGAGAGCGUCUUUUGUAACUUUCUUCGUUUGUUAUUUUAGCGUCCUUUUGAUAGCAAAAUGACUGAGGGGCAAGUAAUUAUAAUCUAUCAAUUGUCCAGCCUUACUUUAGGAAAUUAAUUACUUAGGUGGACGUAGACAAUGUAAAUAUGUACAUAGGGAGCGUAACUCCAUUGGACCAGCUAUUCCACGGUACGUUCCAUGCAACAAUAAAGAUAAGACUGCUGUUGUUAUUGUUGUUAUUAUUAAAUAUGAACACUGUAUAUUAAAUUUUGCCAUAUACAAAUACAUGUAACAAAAAUAAACAGUGGUUACAGUUUA